CUAUAAUUGAUAAGCAUGUGAGUGAUUGAUUAUUACUCUAUAUUUGCAGCCUGGAAAUGGAAUACUCAUUAGAUUCAGCUUUACUCGAAAAUGGCCCUUCAAAACGGUUAAGGAUAGAAUCAUAUGCUUUUGGCUCAAAGGCAGGUCAUGAGAAAGUGAGAAGGGAUAAACUGAAUGACAAGUUAACUCAUGUGCAACAUCUGGAAGAGACCUGAAAGGCUGAUGGUGAUCCACAACUUCCAGAACAACAUUGUGCUUGAUUAGGAUGGUGUUCUUGAAAAAAUCAAAGGAAAGAGUUAUAUUGACAUGUCGAUAGUUGAUGACAAGACUUAUAUCAAGAUAUAUAAUAUUGAUAUGCUCAGUUUUUACUGAAAUGUAAGUCUCCAU